rnacentral:ncRNA from 1 species
UCCUAAAAAAGAUCUAAAAACACAAAGAUUUGAUCCUAGUCUUAUCAUCAACUUUUCCUAAGCUUACACAUGCAAGUCUCAGCACACCCGUGAGGAUGCCCUUUCAACUACACCAGAAUAAGGAGCUGGUAUCAGGCACUAAAACUUGCCCACUACACCUAGUCCCACCACGCCCUCAAGGGCCUUCAGCAGUGAUAAAUAUUGCCCAUAAGCGACAGCUUGACUCAGCCAUAGGAAAGAGAACUGGCCAACUCGGUGCCAGCCGCCGCGGCUAAACCGCACGAGUUCAAGUUGAUAAAUAUCGGCGUUAAGCGUGAUUAAAGGCUCUUUAAAUUAGAAUAAAAUCCACCCUUAGCCGUAAAAAGCUUGCUGUGGAGAAACCCGAAAACGAAAGUUAUUCUAAUCAGCUUGAACCCACGACAGUCGGGACACAAACUGGGAUUAGAUACCCCACUAUGCCCCACCGUAAAAUUCCAACUCACAUCACCAACGCCCGGGUACUACGAGCCCAGCUUAAAACCCAAAGGACUUGACGGUGUCCCAUCCAACUAGAGGAGCCUGUUCUAUAAUCGAUAGUCCCCGAUUUACCCAACCCCAUUUUGCUACUCAGCCUGUAUACCUCCGUCGCAAGCUUACCAUAUGAAUGUCUAAAGUAAGUACAAAGAUCUCAACAUCAACACGUCAGGUCAAGGUGCAGCUAAUAAUAGGGAAGCAAUGGGCUACAAUUUCUAGCAUAGAACACACGAAUUACUGCAUGAAACACAGUCAUGAAGGUGGAUUUAGUAGUAAAAAGAAAAUAAUAUGUUUUUUUUAAUAAGGCCCUGGGACGUGUACACACCGCCCGUCACCCUCUUCAAUAGUCCUAAAAUGUUUAUAACAUCUCUUACACCUCAGAAGAGGCAAGUCGUAACAUGGUAAGUAUACCGGAAGGUGUACUUGGAUUACAAAAUAUAGCUUAACUAAAGCCCCUUGCUUACACCAAGGGAAUAUCCGUGAAAAUCAGAUUAUUUUGAGCCUACAAUUCAGCCUACUUUAAACUCAUGUACACUACACCCAUUAACACUUUUAAUAAAACAUUUUAUUAGUCAAGUACAGGCGAUCAAAAAACUUAUUAGCGCUUUAUCAUUAGUACCGCAAGGGAAAAAUGAAAUAGCUAUGAAAUAGCCUUCAAGCACAACACAGCAGAGCUUACCUCUCGUACCUUUUGCAUCAUGAUUUAGCCAGUCUACAUCAAGCAAAACGAAAAUCCAGUUUGACUUCCCGAAACUAGACGAGCUACUUUUAAACAGCUUUAUAGAGCCAACCCAUCUCUGUUGCAAAAGAGCGGGAUGAUUUUUAAGUAGAGGUGAAAAGCCUAUCGAGUCUAGAGAUAGCUGGUUACUUAAGAAAAGAAUUUUAGUUCAACUUCAAGUCUAUUAAUUUUAUUGACAAAUACUAAAAACUUGAAAGCUAUUCAAAUAAGGCACAGCUUAUUUGAUUUAGGAUACAGCCUACAAAAAAGGGUAAAAAACUUACACACGAACCAAGUGGGCCUAAAAGCAGCCACCUUUUAAAAAGCGUUUAAGCUUCAUUCUUAAAUAUACCUAAUCCCUAAAAACACCUUUAACCCUUUACCACUAUUAAGUAAUUUUAUACUAAUAUAAAAGCCUUCAUGCUAAAACUAGUAACAAGAAAUUGACUUUCUCCUAAAUAUAAACAUAAACCAAAAUGGACCAACCACUGGUAUUUAACGUUUAUUAACCCACUAUAAUAACACACCAAGAAAACCUUAUAGACAAACACGUUAACCUAACACAAGAAUAUUUCAGGAAAGAUUUUAAAAAAAGGAAGGAACUCGGCAAACUUCAACCCCGCCUGUUUACCAAAAACAUCGCCUCUUGAUUAAAUAUAAGAGGUCCAGCCUGCCCAAUGAUUCUUUCAAUGGCCGCGGUACCCUGACCGUGCAAAGGUAGCAUAAUCAUUUGUUCUCUAAAUAAGGACUUGUAUCAACGGCAUCACGAGGGUUACACUGUCUCCCUUUUUUAAUCAAUGAAACUGACCUCCCCGUGAAGAGGCGGGGAUUUUACUACAAGACGAGAAGACCCCAUGGAGCUUUAAACCCAAUUAUAAUCUUUACCCUUCAUAACCCACAAAACUAUAAAGACCUUAUUUAUUGGUUUUAGGUUGGGGUGACCACGGAGUAAAACAAAACCUCCUUGACGAACAGGUCUUAACCUAAUCCAAGAGUUACCACUCUAAGAAUCAAAAAUUUGACGUAAAAUGAUCCGGCAACCGAUCAACGAACCAAGUUACCCUGGGGAUAACAGCGCAAUCCAUUUCAAGAGCCCCCAAUGACAAAUGGGUUUACGACCUCGAUGUUGGAUCAGGGUACCCCAGUGGUGCAGCCGCUACUAAAGGUUUGUUUGUUCAACAAUU